rnacentral:tRNA from 1 species
GUUUUAUGGCUUAGUUGGUUAAAGCGCUGGACUAGCGAUACGGAGUCGGGGGUUCGAAUCCCAUGAAAAAUG